ACGACCAUAUCCAUUGGACAAUACUGGAUCCCGUCCGCUCUCCGUGAUGUCAAGCCAAUGAGAGGCAGAUUAGUAGUUGGGUGGGUGACCACCAGCGAACACCGGCUGUUGUAUGUU